rnacentral:rRNA from 1 species
GACGAACGCUGGCGGCGUGCCUAAUACAUGCAAGUAGAACGCUGAAGGAGGAGCUUGCUUCUCUGGAUGAGUUGCGAACGGGUGAGUAACGCGUAGGUAACCUGCCUGGUAGCGGGGGAUAACUAUUGGAAACGAUAGCUAAUACCGCAUAACAGUAGAUAUCGCAUGAUAUCUACUUGAAAGGUGCAAUUGCAUCACUACCAGAUGGACCUGCGUUGUAUUAGCUAGUUGGUGAGGUAACGGCUCACCAAGGCGACGAUACAUAGCCGACCUGAGAGGGUGAUCGGCCACACUGGGACUGAGACACGGCCCAGACUCCUACGGGAGGCAGCAGUAGGGAAUCUUCGGCAAUGGACGGAAGUCUGACCGAGCAACGCCGCGGGAGUGAAGAAGGUUGUCGGAUCGUAAAGCUCUGUUGUAAGAGAAGAACGAGUGUGAGAGUGGAAAGUUCACACUGUGACGGUAGCUUACCAGAAAGGGACGGCUAACUACGUG